rnacentral:rRNA from 1 species
UACGUAGGGGGGCAAGCGUUGUCCGGAAUUAUUGGGCGUAAAGCGCGUGUAGGCGGCCAGAUAAGUCCGCUGUGAAAUCUCGAGGCUCAACUUCGAGCUGUCGGUGGAAACUGUCUGGCUAGAGUCCGGGAGAGGAGAGUGGAAUUCCUGGUGUAGCGGUGAAAUGCGCAGAUAUCAGGAAGAACACCCGUGGCGAAAGCGGCUCUCUGGAACGGUACUGACGGCUGAGACGCGAAAGCGUGGGGAGCGAACAGG